AAUAAUUAGCCAAUGCGGAAGCUUCAUUUUGCCAGGUCAUUUUUUUUUUUGUCGACUAAAGAUACAAACCGUGUCUUUGGUAUUAUUUGGUUACAGAUCCUUUUUCUUAGCCCAACAAUGGCCCAAUCUUUGUCUGCAACCUAAUAUCUAUCAAAAAGAGUUACGACAUUGUCGUCUUCUAUCUCAUCUUAUGGCCACCUUCAUCUGUUCCGCUUCCCCUUCUCCUUUUGAAUGUAUACGUUCAGCAUGUUAAGCCUCAUAAAGCUCAGUCAUUAACUGCAGAUAUCCUAAUGCCAUGAAUUGAUUUCCAUCCCACCAACUCUACACUAUAUAUAUAUCUCUCAUCUAUUUUUUCCUUCCCCAAUAAAUCAAUUUAUCAGAGAGGCAACAUAGACAGGGAAAUCAAUCGGCAAGACCCCAUGGCUCUCUUCUUCAAUGACGUUGUUCCUGGUUUGGGCUGGAGCUUCUUCUUAUUGAUGAACAGUGGCCAUGUGCUGAAUGUUUACCUGUGGGAUCAUGAUGCCAAUGAGUUUUAUCGCAAAUUCACCGAUAGCCUACAAACUCCAACAGAUCUAUUAAUCGGUACACAAUACCCCUUUUACUCACUUUGUAACUUAUUGUCAUCCUGCAGGAUUUCUCACUUAUUAAUUAGUGAUGUAUACUACAUUAGAUUUCACUUCUACAAGCCAGUCCUUAACUAUCGUUGGUUGGCUCAAACCCAGGACGUUGCUGCUAUGGUCAAUGCAUCUGAGGUGACAAAGGUCAAAACGCUAACCAUUCGUGAGAUCUUUGCCCUUCUUGAAACAGGAACAAGCUCAGCAUUUUUAACUACAUAGCCACCAUUGAUACAGAGGUCUGACCAAAUGUUAUAAAAUCGCAUGUAGUGAUUGCCAAACUAAAGUAAACAGAGGUCUGACCUCAUUGAUCUGUCCAAAUGUGAUAACGUGAAUGCAACUAAUGUUGUGAGGUAUCAUUCUGAAAUGUUGGCUUACGCCAAAGUCAAGAAGGCCAUUUUUGUAAGACUUGGUGAUGCUGGUCCUGAGCUCACGGGAAGGCAGGCGUUAGCGUUAAUUGACAACUAUUUCGAGGCAAAUGGAGACAUAGGUGCUCAUCAUGAGAUGCCAGCACCACAAUGUCUGCUGGAUAUAAUAGGGCAAACCCACAAGUUCACAGUGAAGGUUUCAGACUACAAAUUCACAGGAAUGAGGCAGACCAUAACUGUCACCAAGAUUGUCUCUCUUGCUCUCCUGCCCUCUCUAGCACAAGCCGUUGAGAUACCAGUAAUUCAGGUGAAGAUUUUGACCAGUUUCCUGGGGCAAGUGUAGCAUGUGAGUCUGCCUUAGCUUCAACCUGCUCCGGUGGUCCUUGUGAGGCAAGUGCUCCUAAUAGUGCGAGUGGAGAGAAUAAGCGUCCAAAAUGCAGUAACUAAAACAUCCCAUGGUUGCCCUCUCAACUCCAUCGAUGCUUCAUCACUAUUGAACUAUCAUUAUCUACCUCACUUAUGUUUUGUCUUUCUCUAGGAUUUCCAUUCGCUCUUAUUUUUUUUCUUAAAUUUUCCACCUUUCGUCGUUGGAAACAAUUCACUUAUUUUGAUUUGGCCUUAUUUUC